rnacentral:rRNA from 1 species
UACGGGGGGGGCAAGCGUUGUUCGGAAUUACUGGGCGUAAAGGGCUCGUAGGUGGCCAACUAAGUCAGACGUGAAAUCCCUCGGCUUAACCGGGGAACUGCGUCUGAUACUGGAUGGCUUGAGUUUGGGAGAGGGAUGCGGAAUUCCAGGUGUAGCGGUGAAAUGCGUAGAUAUCUGGAGGAACACCGGUGGCGAAGGCGGCAUCCUGGACCAACACUGACACUGAUGAGCGAAAGCCAGGGGAGCAAACGGGG